CAGCAGCCGCGGUAAUACGAAGGUCCCAAGCGUUGUUCGGAAUCACUGGGCGUAAAGGGAGCGUAGGCGGCGUGGUAAGUCAGAUGUGAAAUCCCGGGGCUCAACCCCGGAACUGCAUCCGAUACUGCCAUGCUUGAGGGUUGGAGAGGUAGCUGGAAUUCUUGGUGUAGCAGUGAAAUGCGUGGAUAUCAGGAGGAACACUCGUGGCGAAGGCGAGCUACUGGACAACAUCUGACGCUGAGGCUCGAAGGCCAGGGUAGCGAAAGGGAUUAGAUACCCCGGUAGUCCCUGUCUCUUAUAC
rnacentral:rRNA from 1 species